CCUACGGGAGGCAGCAGUGAGGAAUAUUGGUCAAUGGGCGGAAGCCUGAACCAGCCAAGUAGCGUGCGGGAUGUAGGCCCUACGGGUCGUAAACCGCUUUUGCACGGGGAUAACACCCUCCACUUGUGGAGGUCUGCAGGUACCGUGCGAAUAAGGGCCGGCUAAUUCCGUGCCAGCAGCCGCGGUAAUACGGAAGGCCCGAGCGUUAUCCGGAUUCAUUGAGCUUAAAGGGAGCGUAGGCGGGCGUUCAAGUCAGCUGGAAAAUCGCGCGGCUCAACCGCGCCCCGCAGUUGAAACUGGACGCUGUGAGUUCACAACAGGCAGGCGGAAUUCGUGGUGUAGCGGUGAAAUGCAUAGAUAUCACGAGGAACCCCGAUUGCGAAGGCAGCCUGCCGGGGUGCGACUGACGCUGAGGCUCGAAGGUGCGGGUAUCAAACAGGAUUAGAUACCCCAGUAGUC
rnacentral:rRNA from 1 species